GUGUUUAAUUUCCUCAAGGGGACCAGAUCUAUAACAUGUUUGUGAGUAGCCGGACCUUUUAAGAACAAAAGGUCCCUGCUUUGAGAUAGAAGCAUAAUUCUGUUCCUCAGGGAAAGGUUUUCACAGUGUGGUGUUUAUCGUAACUAGAGCCACAUUGCAGGGCUGAGUUCUUCAAGCCCAGCGUACUUGCUCAGUGCCUCAGCUGUGUUAGCAUGUGAGUUCACUUCUAUCCAACGGCUCCAGAGCGAUUCUCUCUUAGAGAGAAGACACACCAGACCCUAAAGGGCUCCUUAUAGCGUGUCACAUCAUAAACAUCCUUCCCAGCAUUCUGGUCCAACACUGCUCACCUUCAGAGCUCUGGAAAUAAGUGACGAGGUUCAAAUGCAGCCUUUCUGUUGUGGUUAAGGAGAGAAUGGGAAGAAAUGGCAAAGUAGACAGGGUCCAGACCACAAAGUGCAGACUACUUGGUAAGCCUCUAAAAGUCAGGACAGGCCAACUGUGGCAGCAUUUCCUUGGCAUAGAAAGCUGUGCUGGGUAGUGCGUGCUGAUCCAUAGGAUGAGCAGCCAGAGGGAAUGACAGUAUCUGUUGGUUUCUGUCCUGUAGGGAUCAAUACAGCAAUUUUAGUCGGUGGAAUGUCCACACAGAAACAGCAAAGGAUGCUGAACCGCCAUCCUGAGAUUGUGAUCGCCACCCCUGGUCGGCUCUGGGAGUUAAUCAAAGAAAAACACCCUCAUUUGAGUAACCUUCGGCAGCUCAGGUGCCUGGUCAUAGAUGAGGCUGAUCGGAUGGUUGAGAAAGACCAUUUUGCUGAACUCUCUCAGCUGCUAGAGAUGCUAAAUGACUCCCAGUACAACCCCAAUCGCCAAACUCUUGUUUUUUCUGCCACACUAACCUUGGUACACCAAGCUCCUGCACGAAUCCUUCAUAAGAAACACGUGAAGAAAAUGGAUAAAACUGCCAAACUUGACCUUCUCAUGCAGAAGAUUGGCAUGCGGGGCAAACCGAAAGUCAUUGACCUCACAAGGAAUGAGGGCACAGUGGAGACGCUGACGGAGACCAAGAUCCACUGCGAGACAGAUGAGAAAGACUUGUAUCUCUACUAUUUUCUCAUGCAGUACCCAGGUCGUAGCCUGGUAUUUGCCAACAGCAUCUCUUGCAUCAAACGCCUCUCUGGGCUCCUCAAGGUCUUGGAUAUCAUGCCACUGACCCUGCAUGCCUGCAUGCACCAGAAGCAAAGGCUCAGAAACCUGGAGCAGUUUGCUCGGCUGGAAGAGUAAGUGAAGUCUGUCUCCAGAGGCCUUGAACCAUGAGCCACUGUGCUCAGGAGGGCAGUGGGGCAGGGAACUAGGGACUCCACCUUCUGUCAUAGGUACCCUAGCAGCACAAGGCAGGCUAGCUCUUUUUUCCUUAAUUUUAUCUCUGUAUUUGGCAAAGUCAUUCAUUCAUUGCGUUUUUUUGCUAUUAAUGUUGUUACAGAGACUUCCAGUAAUUAGACAAUAAACGAAGUCCUGGGCAUCCCCUUAACUUUUAGCAUCCUUGGAAGCAACAGAAUAGGUUGUGAUUGAGAGAGCACAGCCUCCAGAACCAGAGUAUCUGAGAGCAGAUCCUGACCCCUUCACUUCCUCGCUGGUCAAGAUAGCCAGCAUGCCUGUGCUUCACUGCCUCACAUGUAGGGUGACAGGCGUGGGGUUGCAAGAAUGGAGUGACUGGGAGCAGUGCAGGGAAAGUGUGGGCAGUGCCUGCCAGGGUGGCCUUCCGUAACCACAGUGACCCACUACUGCUUAUUUCCGUUGCUCUUCUCACUUCGUUAGAUGAUCAGAUGACUCCUACAACAUGGAAAUGACAGGCUGGGUCUCAGAUUUCUGUCAGACUCCAGAGCCCAUGGCUCAUCUCUCCAUGUUUGUCCAUCUGCCUGUGAACCAGUGGUGCAGGGAGUGGGCAUAUGGUGUCUGUCUAGGAAGAGUGAGGCAGUCUCUCAGGAUGGCGGAGAAUAGCGAGAAGGUAUUAGGAGACAAGGACGGUGACCCAGAAUGGAUAUGGCUUCACUUCAUUCACAGCACAGAACACAGCAUGUGCUUGAGACAGUAAGACCCAGAUUUGGGGUCCUGAUUUCACAACAGACUAGCCAUGUUCACACCAUGGAAAGUGAAUCUCUCAGUCUCGGGUUCUUGAUUGUAGAAGUGAGAUACUAGUAUUACCUGGUAGGGCUGUAGUGUGGAGAGCUUAGCAGGUGCUGAGCUGACUGAUAACUACUGUUAUUUAUAAUUAUGGUGUGCUUAUUUCCACACAGCUGUGUUCUCUUGGCAACAGACGUGGCAGCUCGGGGUCUGGAUAUUCCUAAAGUUCAGCAUGUCAUCCAUUACCAGGUACAGCUCUUGGUGUUAAUGCUACACACACACACCCCUGCAUCCCAUCCCCUGUCACACACACACCCCUGCUCCUCAUCCCCUGUCCCACCCCUGCAGUGAAUGAGGAAAUGUUAAAGCAGAAGUCGAGCAGAGGGGAGGAAUAUUCCUCCUCAGGUUCCUUGUAACAGGUUCUCAUUAGCAUCAGUGCUCACUGUUACUGCUCUUCAGAUACUUGGUGAGAGCCCUAUCAAGUAGCCUUUCUCUUCAGGCUACUCGAUAUCGACAGAUGAAAGUGUGAGCUUAGUGUUUUCUGUCACUAUGACAGAAUGCCUUAAACAUGGUAAUUUUUAAAGAGGGUGUGCCUAUUGAUUCUGGGGCUGCAAAAUCCAAGGGCGUGUCACCAGCAUCCGCUCAGCUUCUGUGGGAGCCUUGGUGGAAGGACAAGCAGGAGGUAAGCAGGAGGGAGACAGCCUUGGCGUGUGUCUCAUGCCAGUCCAGACCCUGGAGAGCAAGAACUCUAGUUCUCUUUCUGUCCCAUCCACAGACACCUCCCACUAGGCCCCUCCUAACACUGCUGUACUUGUAACACCAAAGAAUUUAGCUUCAGCAUGAGUUUUGGUGGGGAUAGACCACAGCGACAUAAUUUUGGCUUAGGAUUUUUAAUAAUUUUAGUUUUUAUUGAAAAUGGAUUUUUUUUAUACACUAUAUUCUGAUCACAGUUCCUCUCCCCCAGGUCAUCCCAGAUCUUCCCCACCUCCCAUCUUCCUUACCCACCCACAUCUGUACUUUUUCUUUCUCUCUCUUUACAAAAUAGGCAACUGAAACAAAGCAAAGCAAAGCAAACAAGCCAGAGUCCAACUGUAAAAUACAAGAGACACACAGAUACAAAGGCACACACUCCCAUACACAAAAUCCCAGAAAACCACAGAAUCAGAAACCAUAAUAUAUAAACAAAAACCUGUAAAGGGAAGGAGGGGAGCAUUUUAAGACCAAAAAGAAGAAGAAGAAGAAGAAGAGGAAAUCUCUGAAAAUACUGUCAAGUUCAUUUUGUGUUGGCCGUGUACUGCGGGGCCUGGGGCCUGACCCUAAGCGUGGUUUGUAUACCCAGUGAGACUGCUGGAGAAAACUAACUUUUCUUAUGCCAGGGGUUGUCAGUCGAAGACAGAUAGCCUCCGGGUUGGGGAUGGGGGCUUGUAUUCACCCCUCUUCUCGGCCCUAGGGCCCUUGGCUUAGAUCUUAGAUCUGUGCGGACCCUGUGCAUGCUGCUUCGGUCUCUGAGUUCACACGUGUGUCGGUCCUGUUGUGUCAGGAAGGCCUCAUUUCCUUGUGUCUUCCAUACCUGCUGACUUGUACAGUCUUUCCACUUUUCCUCUUCCACAAUGUUUCCUGAGCCCUGAGAGGAGGAAUUUGAUGGAGACAUCUCACUAAGACUUAAUGUUCCAGUGUCCAGUUGUGUGUCUGUAUUUGUUCCCAUCUGCUUCAGGAGAAAGCUUCUUAUUGAUGAUAGCUGAGCAAGACACUGCUCUGUGAGUACAGGAGGAGGAUGCUAUUAAAGAGCCAUUUAGCUGCUGUGUUCCUUUAACAGAACAGUAGUAUUUGGUUUGCCCCUGGGUAUGUGUCAGUUUCUUGGCUGCCUAGCAGUGUCAGACAUGGGUUCUGUCUCAAGGUGUGGGCCUUGAUUCCAGUCCCAUACGGCCAGUCACUCCCACAGUGUUUGUGCCACUCUUGCAGGUCACCAUGGUAGAUGGAGGGGUUGGUAGCUGGGUUGCUAUUUACCUUUUUCUUCUGGUAACAUGCAGAGUACUUUCUCAUACUGUGGACAUUAGUCCACAUAGCACUGGUACAUAGGGAUUCGAGUAGUUCUAGGAAGGUUCUAGGUAGGCAGCACCUCCACUUCUCCAUGUUCAGUGAAUUCUGUAGGUGUGGCCUUCAGCAGAAGGGCUUUACCGUCAGCUUGUGGAGAGCAACAGUUAGUCUUGGCAAUACCCUGGAGUUUUUUUGGGGUGUGUGUGUGCAGGGGGGUCUGUAGGACUCCUCACACACAGCUGUGUGUUAAAUGGCUGCUGUGCAGUUCAAGGGCAGUGAACUUAAGACUGCCCUUGGCUAAAUCCUGGCUGUGUGACCUUCAAUAAAUAGUUUGUAUCCCUUGGUUUUCUCAUUUUGUAAAUGACAGGGUUGUGCAUCUCUGGGUUAGUAGGGCACAAAGGUAAAGAGCUUGGGCAGCCAGUUGGAAACACUGACUACAUGUUCCAGGUCAGUAGUAGCAGUAACGUUAGUGAUUGUGACAAACCAACAGUACCAUGUAGUUGUAGCUGGAAGCGUGGGCUCCAGAUCCUGCUGCCAGGAAUUGAGCACCACUCUGAUGCUUUAGUGUCCAUAGCUUUGGGCAGGUG
rnacentral:lncRNA from 14 species